rnacentral:misc_RNA from 1 species
GAAAAGCAGACUCCAGAGCUAUUUAAUGCAGUUUUACGCUUCUAUCUUACCAGCAGGAGUCCUAGUAAUAUUCAAAAUAGAAAAAAGCAAUAUGAGUUGUCCUUAAAGAGCAAAGUUCCAUUAGAACGACUGACGUACCACUAUCUCCUUGCCAAUUCAAGAAAAGUCUUGGAUGAUUUGAGUAUUGCUAAAAGUGUAGAGAGAAUGAUGUAUGACAUGAAAGCGGCUGGCUACAGCCCCACCCUAGAGACAUUCAACCACGCCCUGAUGGGGCUUGUGUGGCCGAAGGAGUUCAACAACGGAGACGAAGCCGUUAACUUGGAAUUCAGCUUGAAGCUAAUUGCAGAAAUGAAACAACUCGGAAUAGAGCCCAGUCUGGACACAUGGAGUAUAUUCAUCUCACAGUUUGAUACACAAGUAUUUCCAAAGGGUCGCAAUUCGGAUGUAAUGCGGAUAAUGAAUAGUAUAAUGGAUGAGAUCGAGGAUAAAAAGUUUAAGGAUGUUGGCAAAGAAGGCAGGAUGUUUUUGCCAAAAGCAAUGAAAGUGGCUCUAUUUCAUCAGGACCUGGAAUUUGCCUAUAGACUGGAUGCGUUCUACAAAAAAGGCCAGAACUACAAAAUAAUGAGUGACAUCGACUUGUACAAACAUAGGAUGAUACUGUUUAUUUUGGCUGCCUACUUGGAGUCAGACAUGGCAAAGGUUGUCUCCCUGGUUACUGCUCUUCAGCCAAUGGAUGAAGUCUAUUUCCUACCAGGACUCCGUGUGUUUAUCAACUCCUUAAAAGUGACUAAAUCAUACCAAUUUAUUCCUGAUUUACUCCCAACUUUCCAAACUAGCCAUCGCUGUAUCCACCAGAUUUUAGACUUUUUAGCAGAUAAAAAACAGCCACAGAUGAUUCAGAUGAAGAUGUCUGAAUAUGUCAAAGAUCUUCUGGAGUUAAUGCCUGGUCUGAUGACGAGAAAUGUGAGAUUUUACAUUGAGACCUAUGAGUUUAUGAUGAUCAUCGCACUGAAUGCAGAUAACAUGAAUCUUGCUUGGGAUAUAUUCUCUUUCUUGGUAGAAAACAGGAAAAAUAUUAGAGGAGAGCUUAUGAACAUCAAACCUUUUGAAGAUUUGCUGAACUUUUAUAUUGAUGCCGAUGAUCUAAGAAACUGCAGUGAGAUAGUCAAGUUUGUGGCCAAAGAUUGUCCACCAGAGGUUGCUAAAGCCAUGAUCGAGAAAAUCGAGAUGAAUGUGCCAAUGAAUGAAUUAGAAAGAACACAGUUAGAGAAGAUGAGGGAAAUGACAGCGAGGACGUAUAGGAAAUACUCCGUUCAAUAAAAUGACCGUUGUAUCUGU